GUGCUUGUGUUGGCCGCACAUACACUGACGCUGGAAAGAUACAGAGAAUAGCAUGGCACCUGCCCAAGGAUGACACACAAAUUUGUGAAGUAUUCCUUAUUUUU